rnacentral:rRNA from 1 species
UACGGAGGGAGCUAGCGUUAUUCGGAAUUACUGGGCGUAAAGCGCACGUAGGCGGCUUUGUAAGUAAGAGGUGAAAGCCUGGUGCUCAACACCAGAACUGCCUUUUAGACUGCAUCGCUUGAAUCCAGGAGAGGUGAGUGGAAUUCCGAGUGUAGAGGUGAAAUUCGUAGAUAUUCGGAAGAACACCAGUGGCGAAGGCGGCUCACUGGACUGGUAUUGACACUGAGGCACGAAAGCGUGGGGAUCAAACAGG